AAUGAUGAGCCUGAUUAAAGGACUAUCGUGAUAGGAUAAAACAUGUAGUUAAACACUACCCUCAUUA
rnacentral:tRNA from 1 species